ACUCAAAUGAAUUGACGGGGGCCCGCACAAGCGGUGGAGCAUGUUGUUUAAUACGUCACUAACCGUAGAACCUUACCAGGGCUUGACAUCUGCUGACCGCCGGUGAAAGCCGGUUUUCCUCGCAAGAGGACAGCAAGACAGGUGUUGCAUGGCUGUCGUCAGCUCGUGUCGUGAGAUGUUGGGUUAAGUCCCGCAACGAGCGCAACCCUCACCCCAUGUUGCCAGCGAGUGAAGUCGGGAACUCUUGGGGAACUGCCUGGGUAACCGGGAGGAAGGUGGGGAUGACGUCAAGUCAGCAUGGCCCUUACGCCCUGGGCUACAAACAUGCUACAAUGGACGGUAAACAAAGGGAUCCGAGACCGCGAGGUGGAGGCAAUCUCAAAAAUCCGUUCUCAGUUCAGAUUGCAGGCUGCAACUCGCCUGCAUGAAGUCGGAAUCGCUAGUAAUUGCCGAUCAGCUAAGCGGCAGUGAAUACGUUCCCGGGCCUUGUACACACCGCCCGU
rnacentral:rRNA from 1 species